UCAUCUUUGUUUUUUAGCAGUUGGAACAGGGAUUUCUGUAGAAGUUACAACAAUGCUAUCCUCAAAAAUUCAGUGAGGGAUUUUCGACUAGCUCACUUGCAAUGACUUUAUAUUUUAUUUUAUUUUUUAUUAUUUUGAGCACUGCAACACAUCCUCUGUCAACUCGGACUGAAAUUGACUGCCAGGAAUAAAAAUUCUAAUUUAGAUUCUUAAUUACUUGCUUUCAGGUAUGCUCAUGGAUCAUCAGAGGCUAACAGAAACUGCAAUGACUGUGUAAUAAUUUUGGACUGGCAGUACAUUAAACAAAUGUAUUCAGCCACAGAGGUUUGAGGACGCAGUUACCUCGGGGACAGCUCCCCAAGCCACCACAAAAAGGAAGUUUUACUGCAUCAAGUUGCUAAAAAAUACUAACACUGGGAAUUCCUUCUGCCAGAACAUCAAGGGGUGGGAUAGACCUUAUUCCUGUAAGGCCUGAACACAUCCACUGAACAUCUGAGGUCUGAAAUUAGACACCAACAUGUGUGGCAGGACUAGGACCCUGGGCAAGGUAAUUUAUGAGUGAGCUCUUAUAGACUUCAAGAAGUUUUGACUGGAUGCUCAAUCACCUGUUGUUAUUUUCUCCUUCCAAAAUGGCUAGAGGGAUAUCAAAUACAGGAAGUAAACAUUUGGGGACGUUACAUGAUGUCACCAGAUCAUGAAAAAGGAAGACAGACUCAGCUGCCAUGUCUGAAGACUCUGGAAAGAAGGAAGAUAAAGCCAGACAGUAUAUAAGCACCUGGUGUCUCGCAUUUCGCAGCAGUGUGCCCUCAUCACCAAUUUAUGGCAAUUUUGGGGGAGACGUUACUUGCCAGAGCUCUUCUAUUCUGCAGAAAAGAAUUAAAGAUUUCCCAGGGCAAGAUGAUAUGUUACAACUGGUGUGACUGCAAAGAAGUGAGAAGAAAGGAGAAAAUGAGAUGCUCCAUUAGAAAACACCAUCCAGAAUUGACAGAUUAAGCUGUUUGAAAUGAAGGCAAUUGUGAAUGAUUUUGGAGAUAUUUUAUGUGUAAAUUGGAUCAUUGACUGAAAAAUAAUCACUUGGUCCAUCAAAGACAUAACCCAGAAAUGUGGUGGAGAUGGAAGUUAACAAAGGAUGAGUAAUAGAGGAAAGAUGCGAAGUGCCAAGAAUGAGUCUCUACAGAAACAAAGUGAGAGUUGACUGUGUUAUGGGUCUAAGCAGGACAAGAGAUGAAGAACAACGGCAGUAGCAAGAGGACUUUUGUUUAAAACCGAAGAAAGAAUGAACCGAAGUAAGUGAGCCUUGGGCUGCAUCCACUCAAACCCAGCAGACAGAGUGGUGUACAGCACAUGUUUUUAUUCACUUCAGGUAAUCGUUGCUCAUUUGCUAAAGAACAAACUACACAGUGCUGAGGAGCAGAAAUUAAGAUUGUGGGAAAAGUACUGCAGCCCACAAGUUUUGUAAAUGAUGACAGACAAUUAAAAAGUAGGUUUAUCACAUCACUGAUAAGAGUAACCCCUGAUGGCUUUUUAAUAAGGUGCCAAGAUAGAGCAUCAGCGCAAGAAUGAUGACUGAAUGUCAAUGGCACAGAAACCAGAUUAGAGUGAAAAUUAAGGUAGGGUGGAGACGGGAACAAACAAACGCCUUCCAGGUAACACUGUUGUUUCAUUUGCUGGUGGGGGGAGCCUACUCAUGCUGUACAAAUGCUGCCUGGCAGCCCAGCACUACCUGGAGCCUGACGUGCACAUGGGGGGUGAUCAAAGGUACAGUGCCUGGCAGGAGGCUGGGGCAGGUCUGACAAUUGCUCAGCUGCCAGGUGACAACAGGGCUACCAAAUCUCCCUGGCCCUGUGCCCAGGUGGCCCAGGCACUAGUCCCUGCUCUGGGAAGGGUUCAGCUCUCAGGCCAGUGCUUGCUGGAGGUCCUGGCAUGAGGAGCCUCUGCACCCUGGCUCUUUGGUCAGCGUGUGAAGGCGGCUGUGCUGGCCAGGAGGGUAAGUGUCCAGCUGGCUCUGCUGCCAGGAUCAUUUUGAACUGUGCUCUCUGACUGCUUCUGUAUUCCCAUCUUUGUAUUGCAGUUCUGUCCUAUUGCUGAAAGGGAGUGAGAAGAGGGCGCCUUGUGGUCUGAUGGAAAUAAAGGCACAAGAGGAGGCAGCUCAGUAGUGCAGACUCGUUAUCUUACCACUGGCCCCCGCAGAUCAGUUACAGAAGGGGUGAAGUUGACAAGGUAACUGGAAUGGCAAAAUUAGCAUCAUGUAAGAUUUGUUCCCAAGUGGCUGUUGGCAUGAAUCAAGGUAACAGGUGUAAAUAACAAUGGACAUAUUUAUAAAAGGUAAAAUUUAAAAACCCUGUUAAUGACAUGGAGAUUUAAUCCAGUCCAUAAGCACUGUCUACUGCUGUUUCAUUUUCCUUCUGUUAAAAAUACAUAUGCUCAAUUUGAAAAGAUAACAUUGUGAGAGUUUGGGGUUUUUGUUUUUCUUUAAAUGUACCAUAAAAAGCUGUUUAUGAACAGCCUAUGAUCCCCUUUCCUAACUCAGUUAUUCCAGGAUUGUAACUGUAUGGAGAACACUGUUAGCAAGCAAUUAAUUAAUUAAAAAUGUCCAGCUGUAUUUCACAUUGUGUUUUCUCAGCAUGCCAUGCUUUUGCUUUGUGACAGUUAGUCACAAAAAGUACAUCUAGCCACAGCAAUAAUGGUGAGUAUCCCACAACCGCAUGUGGAAACAGUAAGCUGCAAAAUGAGUCGUAAGUAAUAAAAUACAUUGUCAUAUAACAUUGAAGUGUAGUGGAGUAGAGUAACUUACUUGCUGCUGUAACCACAGGAGUGGGGAAGGUCACCAGGUGCUGGGAGGUGGAUGAGCAGAGUCCGGCCAGGGGCGUGACAGUUGAGGAAGAGCAUCCCAUAGUUUUACAGCAGGAGCAACGACCUUUGCUUUGUUUCUGCAGGUAAGUAGCUUGUACUGAAGCCAAAAAUGACUGUUCUGAUUUACUGUUGCUGAACUGAACUGUGCAAAGUUACUGAGUAAUAGUAGACUGCAAUCCAGGAUGUGUGGUGUUAGAUGAGACAGAAGAAGGUUAAAAGGGCAACAGAAAACUUCUACCCAGCUAAAGACCAUUCAGCAUUUUCUAUCUCUGUUAACAUUUCCUUGCUUAUGAUUUAACUUUGUACUGUCUCAAAUACCUGCGUUAAGU